UACGGAGGGUGCGAGCGUUGUCCGGAAUCACUGGGCGUAAAGGGCGCGUAGGUGGCGCGACAAGUCAGUGGUGAAAGUUCGACGCUCAACGUCGAAUCGGCCACUGAUACUGUUGGGCUUGAGCACUGUAGAGGCUAAUGGAAUUCCGGGUGUAGCGGUGGAAUGCGUAGAGAUCCGGAAGAACACCGGUGGCGAAGGCGGUUAGCUGGGCAGUUGCUGACACUGAGGCGCGACAGCGUGGGGAGCAAACAGG
rnacentral:rRNA from 1 species